rnacentral:rRNA from 1 species
GACGAACGCUGGCGGCGUGCUUAACACAUGCAAGUCGAACGGAAAGGCCCUGCUUUUGUGGGGUGCUCGAGUGGCGAACGGGUGAGUAACACGUGAGUAACCUGUCCUUGACUUUGGGAUAACUUCAGGAAACUGGGGCUAAUACCGGAUAGGAGCUCCUGCUGCAUGGUGGGGGUUGGAAAGUUUCGGCGGUUGGGGAUGGACUCGCGGCUUAUCAGCUUGUUGGUGGGGUAGUGGCUUACCAAGGCUUUGACGGGUAGCCGGCCUGAGAGGGUGACCAGCCACAUUGGGACUGAGAUACGGCCCAGACUCCUACGGGAGGCAGCAGUGGGGAAUAUUGCACAAUGGGCGGAAGCCUGAUGCAGCAACGCCGCGUGCGGGAUGACGGCCUUCGGGUUGUAAACCGCUUUCGCCUGUGACGAAGCGUGAGUGACGGUAAUGGGUAAAGAAGCACCGGCUAACUACGUG